UUCAGAGCCCAGCGAGGGGCGUGAGAAAUUCUGGCGCCCAGCCAGGGGCGUUGAAAAUGCGUCCCUGACUGGUUCUCGUUUUCUGUCUUCUGUUUAUGCGACUUCGAUUUGCGUGCUUGCCUAAUAACGUCCUUUACGCGUAGCAGCGUUUGUGUGAUUCGUUACAGGCCAUCCCGAGCGUCGCUUAUUUUUGUGGCGAUCAUUCGGGUUUGCGGAACACGUAUUUCGAUAUAACUCUUUGGCAAAUUAGUCUAUGAACGUUUGGGCAAUUUUUAAGGUCGUUGGUUUUUUAGGAUAGUUUGACACACACAAUCACAUAUUUCGCUACACAUAACUAACAUUCAUCAUGAGGCGAUAAUAACAUGUCAUGUAGUUUAUGAUAGGCUUCUUUGGGUAGUUAUUUGCGCCUGGCUUGGUACCGCUUCUAUCGUAGAUCCAACACAUGCCCCGGUCGAGGUAGUGUCUUCAACAGACGAAUUUCGCUCAAGAGGCCAACCCGCAAGUGCAAGCCAAGGGGGCAUGCAGGCGAGAGGGACCUAAUGAGCGAGCGAUUGGGUUCGGGAUAGGUGUACUACCUGCACAAGUACCGAGUGGGCAACAUGCACGGCGUAUGCACCCCCCUAUUGGCGGAAAAAGGUAUCUUUAGUCCCAACUCCCGAGGGAUCCGAGAUUCGUUAUGCGGUUCUGCCCGUUCACAUUAAUAUGCUGAUUUUCAGGUCGUCCCAACUUGAUGGGGAAAUAAACGCGGGGUAGGAUCGUUUCACCCUUCGGCUAUUUUGAUUACCUACAGGCACGAGUAUUUCCUUCACUAUCCCCAAUGGAGUCGCCACUGUGAGGGGGUCGAAAAAGCACAAGGCUAAUGCGUGACCUCGUCCCUUGUGGGUGUGACGAUUCUUUUAUUCAAUCAAGUGUAAUUGGAUUUCCUGUGAGUAUACACCCAAUUGACUAGUAAUAUAGGAGUCGCCAUUCAGUUUUUAACGACAAUGAGAAAAACUGACAAAACCUGGUUAUCGUGACAUAAAGGGAGAGCAAUUAUGUUUGACCACGACGGCCGUAGGUUCCCUUGUGAUCCCUGGUGUGGGGAUCUCUCAACAUACACCCGCAAGGUAGAGAUUGAGGGUUCGGGGGACUGUAACUACCGAGAGGAGUACUUCGCUCGUCGAUAACUCCAGAGGUAGGAUAUCCUUACUAGCCCAGCAUAAAUAAUUGAAGGGACAUGCGUUAACUAUUAAACUAAUCUGAGUUGAUUUUAAUAAUAUGCAACAUAUAAUACUAGAUCGAUCGCGAUUAUCUGAUUUAAACAGUAUUAAGGGACCUAGCAUGAUAAUCCAAUUUCCCAAAAAUAUUAUAUUUGUUAGGCGUGAUAGAACAAUCAGAUUUAGUUAGUUUAAUAGUUCAUAAAAAGGGCGAGGAAAGCAAUUAAAUCAUUGAAAAGGGACACAUUACGACGCACCCUUGAGAGGUGCGUCACGGUUCUCAGAAAAACUAACCACUUUGACUUUGCUAUUUCUCCUUUUUAUUUAACGAAUCUCAAAUUAUGGGACAGGAUACGUUCUGUUCGAUUUAUGGAUCGAUUGCGACAGAACGCGUGAACAAUUUCGCAGCGUGAGGCUUAGGCUAAGGGUUGGAGUCAAUACUCGGAAUAUGAAUUGUGUGUUGUGUUCUUUUCACGUCGAAUUUGGGGCUGUAUUUAUAGGGAAGAGUUCGUGGAAAGAUAGAAUUGCAGAGUUCUAAUCCACAAAGAAUUAGGAAAAAACACGUACCCAGGUAUUUUCAGCGCCCAGGCCUGGGCGCCGAAGAUUUCGGCGCCCAGAGCCAGGCGUUGAAAAUAGGGUCUGGGCUGUUUUCUUAGUCAGAUUCGGAUUCCUUAAAUCCGUAGUGUUUGAGACUUAAUCGAGUCUUUUAGUGCGUAUCAAUUUCAUGACGGAAUGCGUCUGGGCCCGUUACGAACUCUAGGCUCGUUAGGAUUUUAAUUAAUACGUAACUCUUAUUUCCGAAUCAUAUUAGGAAUAGGAUUCUCGCAGUUUUCUAUCUCAUUUAGGAUUUACGUUGGAGUGCAACACCUAAUUCUGACAGGUUUCUAUCUUUUAUGAAUUGCCACUUUUAAAAGCUACCCUUUACGGCAGUUACUAUUUUUAGCAGGUUUCUAUAAAUAGCAGGUUUCGGGUGAAAUGAAUAGGGGAAUGGAGAUUCCUUAUUUUAUAGGAGAUGCGUUGUCAAGUGGAGAUUUAUGCUUUCAUCAUCGAACCUUUCCCUUUCGGGAAUGGGGACAAAAGUAGGUGUCUACAGUUGGGGUCGGCCCCUCCAAGCUUGUAGGCGUCCCCCUUGUUCCUUCUUCCGAGCGAUGUCCCCUCCCCGCGGAGUAGUCCAUUAAUCGCUCUGCAGCAGUCAUAGCGGCUGAAAGAGUGUCAACUUUCGCCCUCCAUACUUCACGCUCCGCCCAUUCUUGUAGCCCGUGAACAAAGUUAAACAACCGAUCCUUCUCAUUCAUGUCUCGGAUGUCCAACAUGCAGGCCGAGUAUUCCUUCACAUAGUCGCGUAUGGAGCCCUUGUGGCGGAUCUCCUGUAGCUUAAUCCUUGCAACAAACUCGGUGUUCUCGGGAUAGAAUUGAUCUUUGAGUUCCUUCUUGAACUCUUCCCAGGUGUCUAUCUUUAUUUUCCCCUCUUCGGUAUCGGCGUGCUUGGUGCGCCACCACAGCUUCGCAUCAUCCGACAAAUGUAUGGUCGCGGUAUCCACCUUUAGAUUGUCACUCAGUUGACAAAUUCUGAAAUGCUGCUCCAUGUCGAAGAGAAAGUUAUCAACUUCCUUCGAGUCUCUAGCCCCACUGUAGUCUUGAGGUUUCGGAGGUUUGAUCUUCGUCGCACCACCCCACUCAAGUUAGUCCUUGCAGCGCACAUCAGUGUCGCGCAUUUGUCUUGGGCAUCUUCAGCUUGCUUCUGGACAAAGUUGAGUUGUUCCUGAAGAGCUUCUUUCUCUUGCAUGAGCUCAUCGACCGUACCCUUGAGUCUUUCUAUCUCUUUGGCUUGGGCAAUCACAAUUUCCUCGAGUCGGGUCCAGCUCUCUGACUUGCCUUCUAGCCAUGCUAGUCUUUCUUCGACCGUUUCCAUCUCUUUCUUCCUUAGGUCUUUCGGGGCCUAGGUCAAGCCUUGGCUCUGAUACCAACUGUCACGGUCCGAAUAUUUUGACACCGGAUCCGUGCGGCGCCCUCUUGCCUAUUGGCGGCAAGGAGGCAAGCCUUGUGCGGAAUGAGUGUCUUGUAGCUCGUAGGGGCACGAGUAAGCGUCUGAUUCUGAACGGGCACUCUUGCCUAUUGGCGACAAGAGCGAGGGUCGAGGGUCGAACGAAGCGCUUGUGUGCGCACAGCAGGCACAAGCGGGACCGAUGACGAGAGUGUAUCUGUUUUGCGAGGGACUUUGAUGGGUCUUGGAAAGCUUAAAAGCAUGCGACAACACAAUAUCUAUAAAGGCUAGCAACAACACAUGAAUUAAGAAAAGGCAACUUCUGAUGAGAGGUAUUAGUUCAUACCCCACAUAGAGGUUUAUUUUGAAUUAGCUAAAACUUGCCAGUGAACAAUGGAAUUACAGUAACAUAAUAAUUCUCCCUAAAGCCUAGAAAACUAUUAGAAAGAUCCUAGAAAGCAAUAGAAAGGGGAAAUACAAGUAAAGGAAGGUUGGAUUCUAACACUAUGCGAACCUGAUUAGCCAUAUGGGUGUGGUUGUACGGGUCUUUGACGGUCCUGAUAGGCCCAUGCAGCCCAUUUCUCGGUGUGACGUGCCGUGAAUUCUUGAGUUGUGGGCUUUUGAGCGCUUGCCCUUCUUCGCUCCCCGGUUCGGUAGAGUGGCCGGAGGUUACCCUGAUGCUUUUUGGUGGGGUACUGCUGGGAAAGUGAAUAAACGCCCAGCCAUAAAGAACUUCAGGGACAUGAUCGCAGCUAGACUCCAUGACUUGGUGAGCUGGUCCUGCUGGGCUGGACUAGAGGAGACCGACGAGUUGAGGGAGGCCCGGCUCUAGCUAGUCUCGUUGUCGGAUCUUGUUCCAGGGUCCUAGGGGUCCAUCCUUGUUCUUGGGGGAGUGGUACUCCGGCAGACUACGGAGCUCAUCCGGGUGCCCCGGCCGCCUCCUUCAAGCAUGUUGCGCCCUACGGGCAUCCUUUUUAGCCGCCGGGCAGUGUUGCGGCAGGGUAUGCCUGCAGGGGACUUUGUGCUGCUCACCAUAGCUAUGGUGAGUUUGUGCGGCUUCGGAUUUUUCUUCCGCCUGUCGUCGAGGUACGUGUAACCUUGUGAUUUUAUUGAUAUGCACGUAAGUUCUUUUCGGUUGUGUUUCGACUUAUUUGUUUGUGUUGCAACCUGAGCCCACUGAUCUUGGCGGUUGGGUGCCACCAGCUUGCUCGAUCCGCUAUACUACGGCGGGCGGAUCCAGGAUCAUAGAGGAGGUGCAUGUGAUUCCUGACGAGGAUGGACCCCAUCCAUUGGUUCCUGUAGAUGUCAGCGUGAUUGGUGUUCCACAGGCCCGUGUCCCGGAGCAGAUGCGGACUCCUCGGAGGGAUCCUCAUUCGAUUGAGGGCGAUCGUGAUGCCUCCGGAUCACAUGCUAGGCACGCUUUUCGUACGUUGGUUUGGGUCAGAGGUCCAUGCAGCCGCCGAUUGGGCCUAGGAUGAGCUAUGGUGGGUCGUUCGGAGUGCCUCAGUCUCAUAUGGGUUGGUAGGCCCCUUCGUUCCAGUCGUUUCAGACUGGUUGGCAGUCUCAGCCAUUUCAGCAGCUUUCCCGUCCCGGGUGAGUGUCCGCGACGCAGACGCAGAGCUGGGACUCUUCUCAGUUCGAGGCUUUGUUCGGUGGUCCGCAGGUUUCGUAGGGUGCUUGCACGAGUGGCAGUGCUCAUGGUGAUGAGGAUGAGCCUCAGUAGGCCGUGUACAUGUAUUUCUGAUUUGGACAUGUAUCAUUUUUCGUAUACGCUACAGACUUGUAUAUAUUGUUGCAUUUAACGCUUUUAGUUUAUUUUUUUCGUCUGUGCAUGGAUCGGU